rnacentral:rRNA from 1 species
GAUGAACGCUGGCGGCGUGCCUAAUACAUGCAAGUCGAGCGAACAGACGAGGAGCUUGCUCCUCUGACGUUAGCGGCGGACGGGUGAGUAACACGUGGAUAACCUACCUAUAAGACUGGGAUAACUUCGGGAAACCGGAGCUAAUACCGGAUAAUAUAUUGAACCGCAUGGUUCAAUAGUGAAAGACGGUUUUGCUGUCACUUAUAGAUGGAUCCGCGCCGCAUUAGCUAGUUGGUAAGGUAACGGCUUACCAAGGCAACGAUGCGUAGCCGACCUGAGAGGGUGAUCGGCCACACUGGAACUGAGACACGGUCCAGACUCCUACGGGAGGCAGCAGUAGGGAAUCUUCCGCAAUGGGCGAAAGCUUGACGGAGCAACGCCGCGUGAGUGAUGAAGGUCUUCGGAUGGUAAAACUCUGUUAUUAGGGAAGAACAAAUGUGUAAGUAACUAUGCACGUCUUGACGGUACCUAAUCAGAAAGCCACGGCUAACUACGUG